ACCAGACUCCUACGGGAGGCAGCAGUGGGGAAUAUUGCACAAUGGGGGGAACCCUGAUGCAGCGACGCCGCGUGGGUGAAGGAGUACUUCGGUACGUAAAGCCCUAUCAGCAGGAAAGAAAAUGACGGUACCUGACUAAGAAGCCCCGGCUAACUACGUGCCAGCAGCCGCGGUAAUACGUAGGGGGCAAGCGUUAUCCGGAUUUACUGGGUGUAAAGGGAGCGCAGGCGGCGCGUUAACCCUGGUGUGAAAGCCCGCGGCCCAACCGCGGGACUGCAUUGGGAACUGGCGCGCUGGAGUGCCGGAGGGGUAGGCGGAAUUCCUAGUGUAGCGGUGAAAUGCGUAGAUAUUAGGAGGAACACCAGUGGCGAAGGCGGCCUACUGGACGGUGACUGACGCUGAGGCUCGAAAGCGUGGGGAGCAAACAGGAUUAGAUACCCUUGUAAU
rnacentral:rRNA from 1 species